rnacentral:rRNA from 1 species
UACGUAGGUGACAAGCGUUGUCCGGAUUUACUGGGCGGAAAGAGCGCGCAGGCGGUCGAUCAAGUCGAGUGUGAAAGCCCCCGGCUCAACUGGGGAGGGUCAUUCGAUACUGAUCGACUCGAAGGCAGGAGAGGGUAGUGGAAUUCCCGGUGUAGUGGUGAAAUGCGUAGAUAUCGGGAGGAACACCAGUGGCGAAGGCGACUGCCUGGCCUGUUCUUGACGCUGAGGCGCGAAAGCUAGGGGAGCAAACGGG